ensembl:lncRNA
CGCUGCCGGCAGCCAGGUCCCUGGCGCUGCGCGGCCUUUGUUCCCGGCUGACAGCUGUGGCCCAGUGGACCUCCCCGCCCACGAGCGCUCCGGCCCAGCGGCCCGGCUGCCCGGCUGCCCGGCUGCCCCAUCUCUCCACGCUGGCUUCGCUCAGACCCCGCCCGGCGGCCCUGCGUGCUGAGUCUGUCUCGCCCUGGUCUGACUUUGCCUGUCGUGCUCUUUCCUCUUUUCUUACCUGCACUCCCUUCUUGCUCCUUCCGCGUUUCCUCUCCUGCUCCCCUUUCUCUGCGACCCCCUUCUUGAUACCCCUUUCUCUAGCUCACCAGUUUCUUUUUCCCAAUAGAUUCCAUCUCCCCACCCCCUGCGCUCGCUCGGAAAGGCUGGGCUUCUCGGGUCUAGGACCUAGGUGGGGGGUUUCUUCCCCACGUCGGGGACCCCGGCACUCCUGUCCCCGGUUUCAAAUCAACUUUUCCACCUCUGUCACAGGGGCAGAGUUUCAGGAGAUCCUUGCUGCCUUCUGGACCGGACCCCGAACCUUCAGUUCCAGGCCUCCUGGAAGGCAGUGCAGCAAAGGGUUUAAAAACACAGAAAGGUGGCAGGAGACUGAAUGAACCGCUGCAAAUAUAAGUUCUACAUUAUCUCAUCAGCUGCACUUUCCACUUCUGAACACCCAGAAGAUCUGAUAAGCCUUCCUUAUCAAGAAUCUUGUGCUUGCAUAGCCCAGACUAUUUGUAUCAGAUACUGCCCCUGAUCUAAUCAGCUGUGGACAGGACGGCAGCAUCAUGUCGAAAUACAUAUACUCAUGAAGCACAAAGAAUCUCUCCUGAGAGAGGUGUGGAUGUGCAAGUCUCAGAGCACAGAUUCUUCAACUCACCAAACAUGUUUGGGGUCUUGAUAACUAGCUCUUCAUUCAUAUCAAGAUUUCAUUCCCUCAAG